rnacentral:rRNA from 1 species
CAGCCGCCGCGGUAAUACGUAGGGUGCAAGCGUUAAUCGGAAUUACUGGGCGUAAAGCGUGCGCAGGCGGUCCGCUAAGACAGAUGUGAAAUCCCCGGGCUUAACCUGGGAACUGCAUUUGUGACUGGCGGGCUAGAGUAUGGCAGAGGGGGGUAGAAUUCCACGUGUAGCAGUGAAAUGCGUAGAGAUGUGGAGGAAUACCGAUGGCGAAGGCAGCCCCCUGGGCCAAUACUGACGCUCAUGCACGAAAGCGUGGGGAGCAAACAGGAUUAGAUACCCCUGUAGUCCCUGUCUCUUAUAC